rnacentral:rRNA from 1 species
GAUCCCUACGGGACGCAGCAGUGGGGAAUAUUGCACAAUGGGGGAAACCCUGAUGCAGCGACGCCGCGUGAGUGAGGAAGUAUUUCGGUAUGUAAAGCUCUAUCAGCAGGGAAGAAAAAAUGACGGUACCUGACUAAGAAGCACCGGCUAAAUACGUGCCAGCAGCCGCGGUAAUACGUAUGGUGCAAGCGUUAUCCGGAUUUACUGGGUGUAAAGGGAGCGCAGGCGGUACGGCAAGUCUGAUGUGAAAGCCCGGGCUCAAACCCGGUACUGCAUUGGAAACGAAC